CGAACAAUAUCUGCGGUGCUUUUCUGCAUACAGACAGUACAGGGAUCCAUUUCUGGAUAGACAGUAUCCAGGUUACAUUUCUGUAUAGACAGCACCCAGGAUACAUUUCUGUAUAGACAGCACCCAGGGUACAUUUCUGCAUACACUGCAACCAGGGUACUAUUUCUG